GAUGAACGCUAGCGACAGGCCUAACACAUGCAAGUCGAGGGGCAGCAUAAAGGUAGCAAUACUUUGGUGGCGACCGGCGCACGGGUGAGUAACACGUAUGCAACCUACCUGUAAGAGGGGGAAUAACCCGGAGAAAUUCGGACUAAUACCGCAUAAUACUGAUUAUCUGCAUGGAUUGAUCAGUUAAACAUUUAUGGCUUACAGAUGGGCAUGCGUAUGAUUAGAUAGUUGGUAGGGUAACGGCCUACCAAGUCAACGAUCAUUAGGGGUUCUGAGAGGAAGGUCCCCCACACUGGUACUGAGACACGGACCAGACUCCUACGGGAGGCAGCAGUGAGGAAUAUUGGUCAAUGGGCGAGAGCCUGAACCAGCCAAGUCGCGUGAAGGAAGAAGGUUCUAUGGAUUGUAAACUUCUUUUGUAAGGGAAUAAAAAGAGUUACGUGUAACUUAUUGUAUGUACUUUACGAAUAAGGAUCGGCUAACUCCGUG
rnacentral:rRNA from 1 species